rnacentral:rRNA from 1 species
GUGUCAGCAGCCGCGGUAAUACGAAGGGUGCAAGCGUUACUCGGAAUUACUGGGCGUAAAGCGUGCGUAGGUGGUUUGUUAAGUCUGAUGUGAAAGCCCUGGGCUCAACCUGGGAACUGCAUUGGAUACUGGCUUACUAGAGUGCGGUAGAGGGUAGUGGAAUUCCCGGUGUAGCAGUGAAAUGCGUAGAUAUCGGGAGGAACAUCUGUGGCGAAGGCGACUACCUGGACCAGCACUGACACUGAGGCACGAAAGCGUGGGGAGCAAACAGGAUUAGAAACCCUUGUAGUCC